UACGUAGGGUGCAAGCGUUUAAUCGGAAUUACUGGGCGUAAAGCGUGCGCAGGCGGUUAUGUAAGACAGAUGUGAAAUCCCCGGGCCUCAACCUGGGAACUGCAUUUGUGACUGCAUAGCUAGAGUACGGUAGAGGGGAUGGAAUUCCGCGUGUAGCAGUGAAAUGCGUAGAUAUGCGGAGGAACACCGAUGGCGAAAGGCAAUCCCCUGGACCUGUACUGGACGCUCAUGCACGAAAGCGUGGGGAGCCAAACAGGAUUAGAUACCCGUGCUA
rnacentral:rRNA from 1 species